AGUGGCGAACGGGUGAGUAACACGUGAGCAACCUGCCCCUGACUCUGGGAUAAGCGCUGGAAACGGCGUCUAAUACUGGAUAUGUCCCAUCACCGCAUGGUGUGUGGGUGGAAAGAUUUUUCGGUUGGGGAUGGGCUCGCGGCCUAUCAGCUUGUUGGUGAGGUAAUGGCUCACCAAGGCGUCGACGGGUAGCCGGCCUGAGAGGGUGACCGGCCACACUGGGACUGAGACACGGCCCAGACUCCUACGGGAGGCAGCAGUGGGGAAUAUUGCACAAUGGGCGGAAGCCUGAUGCAGCAACGCCGCGUGAGGGAUGACGGCCUUCGGGUUGUAAACCUCUUUUAGCAGGGAAGAAGCGAAAGUGACGGUACCUGCAGAAAAAGCACCGGCUAACUACGUGCCAGCAGCCGCGGUAAUACGUAGGGUGCAAGCGUUAUCCGGAAUUAUUGGGCGUAAAGAGCUCGUAGGCGGUUUGUCGCGUCUGCUGUGAAAUCCCGAGGCUCAACUUCGGGCUUGCAGUGGGUACGGGCAGACUAGAGUGCGGUAGGGGAGAUUGGAAUUCCUGGUGUAGCGGUGGAAUGCGCAGAUAUCAGGAGGAACACCGAUGGCGAAGGCAGAUCUCUGGGCCGUAACUGACGCUGAGGAGCGAAAGGGUGGGGA
rnacentral:rRNA from 1 species